CUCACCUAGGUAGGCUCUUGGCCAGUUGGCCGGCGUGGCAUGGAGAUCCAGAAGAGCUUCCCGUGCUCUUGGCAGCCGCCGGAGCCACGGCACGGUCGGCGGCAGCGACCAAACGCAAACGCAAAUGUGGCGGCCAUACCCUGAGGUGUCGAUGACAGAUUGACACUGUUCGCCUCCUUGAUCGGCCAUGAGGGGAGAUAAGCAAGGCCGGCCUCCGUCGAUUGCAGCCUGGAGAGCCAAGUUCGGGGAAGCCCGGGACUCAGCAUCUGCAUCCAUUAAAAGCAGCUAGUACAACUAUUUUUAUUUCCGUCGCACUUUGAAGUCUGACCUAAAAUUCGGACUGCACAAAGCUAUGAUCAAUGUCAGAAAAUAUCAAUGUUAUGUUCUCCUGGUAA